rnacentral:rRNA from 1 species
GAUGAACGCUGGCGGCGUGCUUAACACAUGCAAGUCGAACGGAAAGGCCCAAGCUUGCUUGGGUACUCGAGUGGCGAACGGGUGAGUAACACGUGGGUGAUCUGCCCUGCACUUCGGGAUAAGCCUGGGAAACUGGGUCUAAUACCGGAUAGGACCACUUCUUGGCUGUUGUGGUGGAAAGUUUUUUCGGUGUGGGAUGAGCUCGCGGCCUAUCAGCUUGUUGGUGGGGUAAUGGCCUACCAAGGCGGCGACGGGUAGCCGGCCUGAGAGGGUGUACGGCCACAUUGGGACUGAGAUACGGCCCAGACUCCUACGGGAGGCAGCAGUGGGUAAUAUUGCACAAUGGGCGCAAGCCUGAUGCAGCGACGCCGCGUGGGGGAUGACGGCCUUCGGGUUGUAAACUCCUUUCGCUAGGGACGAAGCGUUUUUGUGACGGUACCUGGAGAAGAAGCACCGGCUAACUACGUG